AUUUUCCAAUUUUUUAAGCUCUUUAGUGAACGGUAAUUGUAUUGGUUCUUCAUAAACAAUGUUACAUUUUGGCACACAUUUUGGAAACAAAUUGAAAACAGUAUCAUUAAAGUGCUCAAC